AAUGAACGUUGGCGGCAUGGAUUAGGCAUGCAAGUCGAGCGAGAAGUGUAGCAAUAACACGGAAAGCGGCGGAAGGGAGAGUAAUACGUGGGAAUCUGCCCUUAGACCUGGGAUAGCAGCGGGAAACUGCUGGUAAUACCAGAUAAUGUCUAUGGACCAAAGGUGUGAUUCCGUCUAGGGAUGAGCCCACGUCCUAUUAGCUAGUUGGUAGGGUAAUGGCCUACCAAGGCGAUGAUGGGUAGCGGGUGUGAGAGCAUGACCCGCCUCACUGGGACUGAGACACUGCCCAGACACCUACGGGUGGCUGCAGUCGAGAAUCUUCGGCAAUGGGCGCAAGCCUGACCGAGCGAUGCCGCGUGCGGGAUGAAGGCCUUCGGGUUGUAAACCGCUGUCGAGGGGGAGCAACUUCCAUAGAGUUAUCUUUAUGGAUUGAGUGAUCCCUGGAGGAAGGACGGGCUAAGUUCGUG
rnacentral:rRNA from 1 species